UAUUAACAGAAAGCUGAGCUGACUGAAGAAGCAAAGAAUUACCAAAAAUAUCUGAACAAAAUCAACCAAUAUUAUCAGUUCUCAUUGCCCCAAUAUGUAAAAGCAGUUUAUCAAUAUCACAAAAUUAUGAAACCAUGGAAAAACAUGAAGACAAAUGCUUACCAAGUUGUCCACACUCUGGUAUUUUUAAGAUUCUUGAAUUAACUGCUUCUACUUUACUUUGAAAACAAUUUCCUCAUCUACUUCAUAGGUUGUAUUGAGUCCAUCAAGCAUAAACACAAAUAGUUAUUAAAAAUCUUACUAU